ACAACGGAGAGUUUGAUCCUGGCUCAGAACGAACGUUGGCGGCGUGGAUUAGGCAUGCAAGUCGAACGAGAAAGUUCCCUUCGGGGGAUGAGUAAAGUGGCGAACGGGAGAGUAACGCGUGGGAAACCUACCCUUCAGCGGGGGACAACAGUUCUAACGAACUGCUAAUACCGCAUACGAUCCGGCGACCGCAUGGUGGCCGGCUGAAAGAUGGCCUCUGCUUGCAAGCUGUCACUGAAGGAUGGUCCCGCGUCCCAUUAGCUAGUUGGCGGGGUAAUGGCCCACCAAGGCGACGAUGGGUAGCCGGCCUGAGAGGGUGUCCGGCCUCACUGGGACUGAGAUACGGCCCAGACUCCUACGGGAGGCAGCAGUCGAGAAGCUUCGGCAAUGGGCGAAAGCCUGACCGAGCGACGCCGCGUGAGCGAUGAAGGCCUUAGGGUCGUAAAGCUCUGUCAGGAGGGAAUAAAUACCCGCGGUUAAUACCCGCGGGGGUUGAAGGUACCUCCAGAGGAAGCGCCGGCUAACUACGUGCCAGCAGCCGCGGUAAUACGUAGGGCGCAAACGUUGUUCGGAUUCACUGGGUAUAAAGGGUUCGUAGGCGGGCCAGUUAGUCAGAGGUGAAAGCCAACGGCUCAACCGUUGAAUUGCCUCUGAUACUGCUGGUCUUGAGUCCGCUAGGGGAUGGUGGAAUUCCUGGUGUAGCGGUGAAAUGCGUAAAUAUCAGGAGGAACACCAGUGGCGAAGGCGGCCAUCUGGGGCGGUACUGACGCUGAGGAACGAAAGCUAGGGUAUCAAACGGGAUUAGAUACCCCGGUAGUCCUAGCCGUAAACGAUGGGCACUAGGUGUUGGAGGACUUCACCCCUUCAGUGCCGUAGCUAAUGCAUUAAGUGCCCCACCUGGGGAGUACGAUCGCAAGGUUGAAACUCAAAGGAAUUGACGGGGGCCCGCACAAGCGGUGGAGCAUGUGGUUUAAUUCGAUGCAACGCGAAGAACCUUACCCGGGCUUGACAUGCAGGUGACCGCCGUGGAAACACGGUUUCCUUCGGGCACCUGUGCAGGUGCUGCAUGGCUGUCGUCAGCUCGUGUCGUGAAAUGUUGGGUUAAGUCCCGCAACGAGCGCAACCCUUGUCCUUAGUUGCCAUCAGGUAAAGCUGGGAACUCUAAGGAGACUGCCGGUGACAAACCGGAGGAAGGUGGGGAUGACGUCAAGUCCUCAUGGCCCUUACGUCCGGGGCUACACACGUGCUACAAUGGUCGGUACAAUGGGCUGCAAGACCGCAAGGUGGAGCGAAUCCCAAAAAGCCGGCCUCAGUUCGGAUUGUAGUCUGCAACUCGACUGCAUGAAGUCGGAAUCGCUAGUAAUCGCGGAUCAGCAUGCCGCGGUGAAUACGUUCCCGGGCCUUGUACACACCGCCCGUCAAGUCACCCGAGUCGGCUGCACCCCAAGUCGCUGCGCUAACCCGCAAGGGAAGCAGGUGCCCAAGGUGUGGUUGGUAAGGGGGACUAAGUCGUAACAAGGUAGCCGUAUCGGAAGGUGCGGCUGGAUCACCUCCUUUCUA
rnacentral:rRNA from 1 species